CACGCCGUAAACGAUGCAUACUAGGUGCAGGGAGAAUCGACCCUUUCUGUGCCGCAGCUAACGCGUUAAGUAUGCCGCCUGGGAAGUACGAGCGCAAGCUUAAAACUCAAAGGAAUAGACGGGGAUCCGCACAAGUGGUGGAGCAUGUGGUUUAAUUCGACGAUAAGCGAGGAACCUCACCAAGGUUUGAAAUCUAGCUGCAGAGCCCAGAAAUGGGAUGUCCUUCGAGGGUGCUAGACCAGGUGC
rnacentral:rRNA from 1 species